rnacentral:rRNA from 1 species
CCUACGGGAGGCUGCAGUAGGGAAUCUUCCGCAAUGGACGAAAGUCUGACGGAGCAACGCCGCGUGAACGAUGAAGGCCUUCGGGUCGUAAAGUUCUGUUGUUAGGGAAGAACAAGUAUCGGAGUAACUGCCGGUACCUUGACGGUACCUAACCAGAAAGCCACGGCUAACUACGUGCCAGCAGCCGCGGUAAUACGUAGGUGGCAAGCGUUAUCCGGAAUUAUUGGGCGUAAAGCGCGCGCAGGCGGUCUCUUAAGUCUGAUGUGAAAGCCCCCGGCUCAACCGGGGAGGGUCAUUGGAAACUGGGAGACUUGAGUGCAGAAGAGAAGAGCGGAAUUCCACGUGUAGCGGUGAAAUGCGUAGAGAUGUGGAGGAACACCAGUGGCGAAGGCGGCUCUUUGGUCUGUAACUGACGCUGAGGCGCGAAAGCGUGGGGAGCG